rnacentral:SRP_RNA from 1 species
UUGUAGGUCAGGUCGGCGAGCUAGCCCCUCGCUAUUCGCAAAUGGGCUUUAUGGCGGACUGCAAGGCAAGGCGUGAGAUGAAGCUGUUGAUGUUAUUAAUAUGACGUUGAAGCUCUGUCCUUUUUGAUCUUGCCUUGAUGAAUUGGGUCAGGUCGGGAACGAAGCAGCCCUAAGUUAAGGUUUGGAUGCUUAGAGGGUUGCAGGGUUGAGGAUUGUUAGUAACCUCUGAGCUGUGGAUUUGAGCAAAUUGCUGGACCUACGU